rnacentral:rRNA from 1 species
GUGACUGCGUACCUUUUGUAUAAUGGGUCAGCGACUUAUAUUCUGUAGCAAGGUUAACCGUAUAGGGGAGCCGAAGGGAAACCGAGUCUUAACUGGGCGUUAAGUUGCAGGGUAUAGACCCGAAACCCGGUGAUCUAGCCAUGGGCAGGUUGAAGGUUGGGUAACACUAACUGGAGGACCGAACCGACUAAUGUUGAAAAAUUAGCGGAUGACCUGUGGCUGGGGGUGAAAGGCCAAUCAAACCGGGAGAUAGCUGGUUCUCCCCGAAAGCUAUUUAGGUAGCGCCUCGUGAACUCAUCUUCGGGGGUAGAGCACUGUUUCGGCUAGGGGGCCAUCCCGGCUUACCAACCCGAUGCAAACUACGAAUACCGAAGAAUGUUAUCACGGGAGACACACGGCGGGUGCUAACGUCCGUCGUGAAGAGGGAAACAACCCAGACCGCCAGCUAAGGUCCCAAAGUCAUGGUUAAGUGGGAAACGAUGUGGGAAGGCACAGACAGCCAGGAUGUUGGCUUAGAAGCAGCCAUCAUUUAAAGAAAGCGUAAUAGCUCACUGGUCGAGUCGGCCUGCGCGGAAGAUGUAACGGGGCUAAACCAUGCACCGAAGCUGCGGCAGCGACACUAUGUGUUGUUGGGUAGGGGAGCGUUCUGUAAGCCGUUGAAGGUGUGCUGUGAGGCAUGCUGGAGGUAUCAGAAGUGCGAAUGCUGACAUAAGUAACGAUAAAGCGGGUGAAAAGCCCGCUCGCCGGAAGACCAAGGGUUCCUGUCCAACGUUAAUCGGGGCAGGGUGAGUCGACCCCUAAGGCGAGGCCGAAAGGCGUAGUCGAUGGGAAACAGGUUAAUAUUCCUGUACUUGGUGUUACUGCGAAGGGGGGACGGAGAAGGCUAUGUCAGCCGGGCGACGGUUGUCCCGGUUUAAGCAUGUAGGCGGAGGUUCCAGGUAAAUCCGGUACCUUUUAACGCUGAGGUGUGAUGACGAGGCACUACGGUGCUGAAGUGAUAAAUGCCCUGCUUCCAGGAAAAGCCUCUAAGCAUCAGGUAACACGAAAUCGUACCCCAAACCGACACAGGUGGUCAGGUAGAGAAUACCAAGGCGCUUGAGAGAACUCGGGUGAAGGAACUAGGCAAAAUGGUGCCGUAACUUCGGGAGAAGGCACGCUGAUAGGUAGGUGAAGCCCCUGCGGGCGGAGCUGAAAUCAGUCGAAGAUACCAGCUGGCUGCAACUGUUUAUUAAAAACACAGCACUGUGCAAACACGAAAGUGGACGUAUACGGUGUGACGCCUGCCCGGUGCCGGAAGGUUAAUUGAUGGGGUUAGCGGCAACGCGAAGCUCUUGAUCGAAGCCCCGGUAAACGGCGGCCGUAACUAUAACGGUCCUAAGGUAGCGAAAUUCCUUGUCGGGUAAGUUCCGACCUGCACGAAUGGCGUAAUGAUGGCCAGGCUGUCUCCACCCGAGACUCAGUGAAAUUGAACUCGCUGUGAAGAUGCAGUGUACCCGCGGCAAGACGGAAAGACCCCGUGAACCUUUACUAUAGCUUGACACUGAACACUGGUCCUUGAUGUGUAGGAUAGGUGGGAGGCUUUGAAGCGUGGACGCCAGUCUGCGUGGAGCCAUCCUUGAAAUACCACCCUUUAAUGGCUGGUGUUCUAACGUAGACCCGUUAUCCGGGUUGCGGACAGUGUCUGGUGGGUAGUUUGACUGGGGCGGUCUCCUCCCAAAGAGUAACGGAGGAGCACGAAGGUUGGCUAAUCCUGGUCGGACAUCAGGAGGUUAGUGCAAUGGCAUAAGCCAGCUUGACUGCGAGCGUGACGGCGCGAGCAGGUGCGAAAGCAGGUCAUAGUGAUCCGGUGGUUCUGAAUGGAAGGGCCAUCGCUCAACGGAUAAAAGGUACUCCGGGGAUAACAGGCUGAUACCGCCCAAGAGUUCAUAUCGACGGCGGUGUUUGGCACCUCGAUGUCGGCUCAUCACAUCCUGGGGCUGAAGUAGGUCCCAAGGGUAUGGCUGUUCGCCAUUUAAAGUGGUACGCGAGCUGGGUUUAGAACGUCGUGAGACAGUUCGGUCCCUAUCUGCCGUGGGCGCUGGAGAAUUGAGGGGGGCUGCUCCUAGUACGAGAGGACCGGAGUGGACGCAUCACUGGUGUUCGGGUUGUCAUGCCAAUGGCACUGCCCGGUAGCUAAAUGCGGAAGAGAUAAGUGCUGAAAGCAUCUAAGCACGAAACUUGCCCCGAGAUGAGUUCUCCCUGAGACUUUAAGUCUCCUGAAGGAACGUUGAAGACGACGACGUUGAUAGGUCGGGUGUGUAAGCGCAGCGAUGCGUUGAGCUAACCGAUACUAAUGAACCGUGAGGCUUAACCUU